CUCCGUUAGGGGUGCCUGCGGAGGGAUCAUUGCUGGAACGCGCCCCAGGCGCACCCAGAAACCCUUUGUGAACUUAUACCUUACUGUUGCCUCGGCGCAUGCUGGCCCCCUCGGGGUCCCUCGGAGACGAGGAGCAGGCACGCCGGCGGCCAAGUUAACUCUUGUUUUUACACUGAAACUCUGAGAAAAAACACAAAUGAAUCAAAACUUUCAACAACGGAUCUCUUGGUUCUGGCAUCGAUGAAGAACGCAGCGAAAUGCGAUAAGUAAUGUGAAUUGCAGAAUUCAGUGAAUCAUCGAAUCUUUGAACGCACAUUGCGCCCUCUGGUAUUCCGGAGGGCAUGCCUGUUCGAGCGUCAUUUCAACCCUCAAGCAUUGCUUGGUGUUGGGGCACUGCCUGUAAAAGGGCAGGCCCUGAAAUCUAGUGGCGAGCUCGCCAGGACCCCGAGCGCAGUAGUUAAACCCUCGCUUUGGAAGGCCCUGGCGGUGCCCUGCCGUUAAACCCCCAACUUUUGAAAAUUUGACCUCGGAUCAGGUAGGAAUACCCGCUGAACUUAAGCAUAUCAAAAGGCCGGAGGAA
rnacentral:rRNA from 1 species